rnacentral:lncRNA from 1 species
UGGACAGCGGGUCCCACACGGUGUCGUGGGAGUGCCAGGUGUGAGCACGUAUACUUGGAAGUGUGCACAUGUCUUGUGCCCCCCGGGUGGCCCCUUGUGCCUGAGCCUCUGUGGCUGUGGUUUUCUGUGUCUGUAUCUGGUGGUGUAUGUCUAAUAUGGGAGAGUGAAAAUAGCCCUGCACUGCAAGUCAGGAUGCCUGGGUUGGAUUCCUAGCUUAACUUUAUUUUAAUUUUUUUUAAGAGAGCCUCCCAUGUUGGCCUCGAACCUCUGGGCUCAAGGGAUCCUUCUGCCUCAGCCUCCCGAGUGUCAGCUCUACUGGCUUUAGCUAUGUAGCCUUUUGGCAAGUCGUUUUCCUGCUCCGGGCCUCAGUUUCCUCAUCUGUAAAAUCAGUGAGCUGGGAUCGCCCGGAGCCAAGGUCUUCAAGCAGCACCCACUGGCUGGCUGAUCCCAGGCCUGUCACACGUCUAUUUUCAUCUGUUUCCCUGUCUGUCCCAGGAGACCUUUGCUCCAGAUGACCUCCAAGGCCACCCAGGAUGUGACAACCCUAGAGCCAGGGAGCCAGCAAGACCCCUCCGGGCCCAGGUUCCCGGCCCAGCAUCCCAGCUCUGGCCCAAAGCCAGCUUCCAGUUGUAUCGUGACCUUCUGAACCUCAGUUGUCUUGCCUGUAAAAUGGAAAUGAAGGGGAUGGUUAGCACUCCCACUGGAUCAAAUAAGCUGCACCUCAUACAUAAUGAGGAAACAGAGACCCGGAGAGAUACAGUCCUUGGCCAGUCAGCCAAGUUGGAGCAUAGCUUGGACUUUGAACCCAGUCUCCCAGCUCCCAGUCUGCCUGCAGCCCUGUCCCUCUCCACCCCCAAGCCCUGACCAGAAUUCUCUUCUGUACAUCCAGAAGGGCUUUCCCAUUCCUCAGACUCUCUGAGGCAAUUACAGUCCCUACCACUCAUGUGGCCCUUAAUCAUUUACUGCCCUUGCAAACAGCCUGUGGUCAAAAGCAAUAAAGUUCGGACUUGGACAGAUCA